GUUAGAAGAAUAUGUUAAACCUAUAUUGGAUUGCCUAAGGAGGGGAGAAAAGGGAGAAAGAGGAAGAAAAAUUUGGAACAAAAAGUUUUUCAUAGGUGAAUGCUGAAAACUAUGCAUGUAUUUGGAAAAAUAAAAUACUAUUACAAAUUUUUGAAUUUUUUAAAAAAGAUCAAUGUUAUAAAAAAUCUCAAUGAAAGAUUAUCAUCCAAGGAAAAAAGAAAAGUCAAUGGCAUCAAAUGUUGCAAAGAGUCAAAAAGAAUAAAGAUUAUGAAGUGGUCAUUGAAUUGUGAGCUGAAAUAUCAUUGGUAACAUUGGGGUAGGGGGGAAACAGUUUCAGAUAAGCAGUGGGGUCAGCAGCUAGAUUGCAGUGCUUUUGUAGAAGAAAGGGAGACAAUCGGUGUAAAUGGAUUUUCUAAAACAUUGGCUGAAAAAAGAGAAGAGAGUCGUAGCACAAGAGUUAGCAGCAAUGGUAAAGUGUAGUGAGGGUUUAUUUUAUCUUUUUAAAAAUGGAAAAGUCUUGGGCAAGUUUAUAAGGCAGAUGGUUCUGGAUGGAACUGGUAGAUAUGGAGAUGGAAGAUUAGAAAGAGGCUGAUUGAUGAUGAUUUGAUUAAUUCAUCCACAUGCUGACAGAUCACUUUAUCAAUAAGUGACCUCCAGACUCAGACAUAGCUACCAACCACCCUCUGAUGAUUGCUCUGAAUUCGGUUAGCCAAAGUAGCAGAUGAUGCUGUUGAUGUGAAUGUUUAGGUAAACAGGAUGUAUUAACUUAAAUUAGAAUUUGGCUGAGACACUGGGUAACUCCAGUUCAGAGACCAGAAAUAGACACAAGAACAGCAUGGUGGAACUCAGAGAGACACAUUAAAGGGACAGCAUUUCAAUUUGUAGAUCUUAUAGCUUGGACAAGUUGUAAGAGCCUUUUUUAUGGGGAGGUGGGGAGAAGGUUCAUUCAAGGUUGUGUUGCCUUAUUCUCAUCCAUUCCCCCUAACUCAAUGUGGACAAAUGUGAAGGAUCUCCCAGCCAUGAUCCAGGAGUACUGUCAGUCUGCUGAGCUCAUUCCUCCCUAGCUAUUUAAGAUGUUCUGCCUAAAUGAACCUUGUGUCGAAAUGAGGGAUUAGCUAAUUCUUGCAGCUCCAGUCGAGCCAAUUUAGAAUGCUUCCUGUGGGGAUUGUGAAACCCUGAGAUGACAGAGUACAAGUUCCUCAUCGCUGGCUGGAUUUCCCCUCCUCCACUUCUUCCAUCUGGUUAUAAGAAGAAUGUUUAUGAAAGUUGAAAGAAUUGGGAAUUUCCCAACCACCAUGCCCCAUUUCCCAUCAUCUUCUUUCUCUUCUCAUUUUAUUCUCCCUCAAAGGCCAGGCUGGUUAAAAGAACAGGUGCAAAGCCCUUGGGAACCCAGAGACACGGAGAAAAAAGUGACCAGGAGCUGUGAUUCCAGCCUGGGUGUUUCUGAGAAUAACCGACAUUUCUCCCACAGACAGAUGUCCUUGUUCUUCAACAUUCCAGACAUCUCGACAUCUUUAUGGCCACAAGUUUUAAGAAUACACAUGCCUCGAUUCCAAAGCCUGAUUUUUCAUUCUCAACUUGAGGCUUCUGACACAACAGUAUGAAUGAUUAAUCAAAUCAAUUUGUGCCCAUAUAUUAAGUCUUGAAUGACUGCCACUAAUUUCAGUUGUUUAUUUUUCCUAACCUUCUGCUUCCUUCGAUAGUAGCAAAUCCAUUGUCAGGCACUUAAUUAGAACUCCCUGAAAGACUCUGAAACAUGGUUUGAAAUACACUUAGAUCAAAAGCAUCAUUUUAUUUCUUGAAGCAUACUCUUUUUGUCAUAUACCUAAAGCUGUCUCCCACCUCCAUACUUUUGAAAGACUGCCCUCAUAUUCCUAAUAUGUCUUCUUCUCCUUCCUCUGUGUUUCUUGGAUUCUCUAGCUUCCUUCAGGGUUUAGCUUGGGUUCCACCAUCUAAACCAGCCUUUUUCUCAUUUUUUUCCACUUAUUAGAUUUCUAGCUACAGAAAUUAUAUUUACUUAUAUGUAUGUUGUAUUUAAAUUAAAUUAAAAAUAAAUUGUAUUUACUUAUAUAUUAUAUUGAUGUACCACCCCAGCCCCUGUACGUUCCUUGAGGACAGGCAUUCAUUUUUACAUUUAUAUUUUUGUAAUAUUUAAUAAAUGUUUAUUGCCUGCUUGACUAACUUCCCAUAA